rnacentral:rRNA from 1 species
CCUACGGGAGGCAGCAGUGAGGAAUAUUGGUCAAUGGGCGCGAGCCUGAACCAGCCAAGUAGCGUGAAGGAUGACUGCCCUAUGGGUUGUAAACUUCUUUUAUAAGGGAAUAAAGUGAGGCACGUGUGCCUUUUUGUAUGUACUUUAUGAAUAAGGAUCGGCUAACUCCGUGCCAGCAGCCGCGGUAAUACGGAGGAUCCGAGCGUUAUCCGGAUUUAUUGGGUUUAAAUGGAGCGUAGGUGGGUGGUUAAGUCAGUUGUGAAAGUUUGCGGCUCAACCGGAGAAUUGCAAUUGAUACUGGCAGUCUUGAGUGCAGUUGAGGUAGGCGGAAUGCAUGGUGUAGCGGUGAAAUGCUUAGAGAUCACGAAGAACUCCGAUUGCGAAGGCAGCUUACUAAGCUGCCACUGACAUUGAGGCUCGAAAGUGUGGGUAUCAAACAGGAUUAGAUACCCUUGUAGUC